ACGAAUCUUAUUCUUACUAUUCGUGAACUUAUGAAUUGUUUGGGGGUUUUAAAAGUUUCGUGCUUUUUGGCCCCCAAGUUUAAAACCAUUAAAACUGUUGACUGAAGAAAGAUUUUAAAUUCUUA
rnacentral:misc_RNA from 1 species